UACGUAGGGGGCUAGCGUUGUCCGGAAUCAUUGGGCGUAAAGAGCGUGUAGGCGGCUUGGUAAGUCCGCUGUGAAAGUCCAGGGCUCAACCCCUGGAAAGCCAGUGGAAACUGUCAAGCUAGAGUCCGGAAGAGGCGAGUGGAACUCCUGGUGUAGCGGUGAAAUGCGCAGAUAUCAGGAGGAACACCGGUGGCGAAGGCGGGUCUCUGGGUAGUAACUGACGCUGAGGAACGAAAGCGUGGGUAGCGAACAGG
rnacentral:rRNA from 1 species